GCAUUGGUGGUUCAGUGGUAGAACUCUUACCUUCCAUGCAAGAGAUCCAGGUAAAAUUCCCAGCUAGCACA
rnacentral:tRNA from 1 species